rnacentral:tRNA from 1 species
GUCAAUGUGGCAUAGUGGUUUGAGUCUUAGACUACAACUUUGGAGACCAGGGUUCAAAUCCCACUUCGGCC